GUAGACAAAUAAUGAAGCAUUGCAUCAAAGAUAUUUUUUAAGUGCAGAUAGAAUAAAAAUUGCCAAGAGUGGUGAAUUAUGUGGUACACCUACUUUUAAAAACAGUGUCCUUUCCCGUACACCUGCACAGAUGUACACAAAAGAAGAAUGCUAACUGGCUGUGGCAUCCAGAACUGUUGAUUUGAAAUAAAACUAACUGUCUUAUAAGCUUAGAUAUGUGGGGUAAUUUUUACUGAAAAGCUAUGUGUUCAGCUCUGCAGACUGAUGGAUGGCAUGAAGUACAGACAAAGUUCUGCAUCUUUCCCCUUCCCAACUGUGAGAUUUCAGGCUUUUACCUUGCCAAGGUCUUCAAUGCAGAUCAAGAACAUUGUAGAAAAUGGCAAUUACUAUAGAAGUGUUUGCUUGCCAUCAGACUAAAGCUUAUGAGGAAUCCUUUAAAAGAAACACUUCUGCUAUAUCUGAAUGCAGGACUGGUUGGAUGGGGCCCUGGGCUGCCUGUCUGAGUGUCUGAUUAAGUGUUUGGCAGGGGGAUUGGAACUAGAAGAUGUUUGAGACCCUUUCAGUCCAAGCCAUUCUAUGAUAUGAUUCUCUGACUGUUUCGUGGGGACUUUGAACUAUGGAGUUGUGCAAUCUUUGGAAGUGAAUGUGGAUUGUGAACAACAUAUUCCUUUUAAACAGGACCAGGAAACUAACAUAUUCCUUACAGUGGCACCCAUAGAUCACCACAUCUACAGUGCCAGAAUGGAAUAAGUGAAGUCACCUGAACCUCUCACUCUGAAGAAAGACCGGGAAAUUGUGCACAAGGCCUCCAUACUUUCCUGAAAGCAAAGAAGCUUGAGUGGCUGAUUGCCAGGUGUACUGUGCCAAGAGUUACUGGGAUCUCCGACACAUUCCAGUGGGAGUAUUAACAGCUGAGACAGAAGAAGCAAACUGUGCUGGAAGGACUCACAUCAGCCCCAGCUUUUACCCAUGGGAUUUCUGAUUUGCUGGAGUGUCCAAGUGUUUUAUGUGCUCCAGAAGAGAUUUCAUUGCUGCAUGGCUGAAUCAUCUCCAUUCUGCCUUUACUUCCCAUAGCUGGAGGGGCUCCCUAUUGGCUGUGAUGUCUGCUUUUCACUGAGGGCUUUUGACACACUCUUCAUAGGUCCACUAUGGCAUAGAGGCAUGAGUGAUUUUCUUUGUUUCUCUUAUAUGCCUACUUGCCCCAAUGGCAGAUGUAUGCUCUUUGAGGAUAUACUGUUUGUGGAUUUAACCAAGGAAAAAGAUUCUGGUCUUUCUCAAGUCAAUGGGAAGCUGCUUCUUGGGUCAGUAUGUAUGAUCAUUGUGGCGCAAUGCCCGGCCUUGUUGCUGGUAGUAAAAUGUAAAUGCAGCUUUCUUCAUCCUGUCUGUCAAAACAGCAAUGCUCAGAGCACCAGGAGAAUAUCAGGGAAUUCUGGGUGCUCUAAGCAUGUUCAUGUUCUAUCUCACUUGAUUUUAUUUUGCUUAAGUAUUUUAACCUUUGGAAGCA